GGGAACGAACACCUAGGGAAAAGGUGAGGAAAUGGAGGAACGACAACAGAGAGAGAACGAAAAAUACAUUCUGCUUCAGCAUUUCAAGCUCGAUAAAAAGCUGAAUAAAUCAGCCAUUGAAAAAUCCCUUAAGCUCCAUAGCUCUCCUACCCAUAAGUCCCUUCUUUUGUCCGUUUUUAUCCAUUAAAAUACAGCUUCUUUUGCUUUGAAAUAGUAGCUAAAAAUACAGCACAUCAGCCACAAAACAGCCCUUCUCCACCACUGUUUAAUCCUCAAUACAAUCCUUAAACUUGCUCGAAAUUCCAGCCCCAAAACCCACGUCACAGAAGCUUCAAACAGUUCCGAUGUCGUUGCGUUUCACCUCUAAAGAAAGCGCCUAGAUCGUUUCUUCUCUUUUGAAUUUUUGACGGUUUUGAGUCGCCGACGAGUUCAUGUUUGAUGUUGAUUGUUUUAUUUCGUUCACUGUCUGUUGGAAUAAAUUUCUUUGUACGCUGGCUUGGAUUUUUUCCGAUAAUACAAGAAUUACGGCUUGGAAUGUCAGUCUUAAAUUUAGAAGGACGUUCAUGAAGAAUAUUACGCUUUUCUCCAUAAGAGGGGCUCAUGCAAAUCUUUAAAACUAUGGCUUUGGAUACAUGCACGAUGCUCAAUUUUUACAUAUUAUUGAGCAUAAUGAUUGUUAUCGUUCUAUGAACUUCCUUCAAGAUUAA
rnacentral:lncRNA from 1 species